GAAAACUCAAAGGCGCAAUGAAAGUAAAGAAUCCGCAAGGAUACGACGUGUGAUCUGAGCAAUCACGAUUGCCUGGAGCAACAUGGCCCCAUUCUGGUCGCUUGCGACGGGGUGGAGGAAGAGCGUACGCGGUGGGACCCGAAAGAUGGUGAACUAUUCCUGAGCAGGAUGAAGCCAGAGGAAACUCUGGUGGA
rnacentral:rRNA from 1 species